rnacentral:misc_RNA from 1 species
GGCACACCCAGUAUCAGCACCUCCGCCGGGUGCGCAUACGGCGCCGCAAACCCCACCGGGGCCGUGAACUCGUGGUGCACUCGGUGAAUCUUCUCGUAUCCCCAUUUAGAGUGAAGUGCACGAUGAAUCCAGUAGUUGAAGAAGUCUUCUACCACAAAAUAUACCAAUAACUGCGCUGCUGCGGCUUCCAGUGAGGGGAGGGGUAAAGAGGUUGAUAUCCCGACCCAUUUGAUGACGGGGUAGGAGAAGACUUGGAGCGGGCCGACGGUGAGGAUGAAGGUGAGGACGACUUUGGUGUAGCAGGCGAGGAUGGUUGGUGGUGGGACUAGGGUUUUGGGUUGGA